GUGUCAGCCGCCGCGGUAAAACGUAGGAGGCUAGCGUUAUCCGGAUUUAUUGGGCGUAAAGCGUGUGCAGGCGGUUUAGCAAGUUGGAUGUGAAAGCUCCCGGCUUAACUGGGAGAGGUCGUUCAAAACUGCUAGACUAGAGGAUGGGAGAGGGAGGUGGAAUUCCGGGUGUAGUGGUGAAAUGCGUAGAUAUCCGGAGGAACACCAGUGGCGAAAGCGGCCUCCUAGACCAUUUCUGACGCUAAGACACGAAAGCUAGGGUAGCAAACGGGAUUAGAGACCCCGGUAGUCCUAGCUGUAAACGAUGUAGACUUGGCGUUGGCGGAGUUAAAUCUGCCAGUGCCGAAGCUAACGCGUGAAGUCUACCGCCUGGGGACUACGACCGCAAGGUUAAAACUCAAAGGAAUUGACGGGG
rnacentral:rRNA from 1 species